CUGUCCGAGGGGCGCUGCAGCAGGUUCUCCUGUCAGGCUCGGAUGGGGCGUUGCCUGCACGGGGUUCCCCGCACGGGCACUAAACGCACAACGGCGCCCAUUCGCA
rfam:Steinernema glaseri strain NC unplaced genomic scaffold GLAS_2969, whole genome shotgun sequence.